UGAGAGUUAGUUUAAGAAGAACCCCUGAUUUCGGCUCAGAAGGCUUUGGUUAAAGUCCAAAACUCUUUA
rfam:Paracentrotus lividus mitochondrion, complete genome.